CCGGUUAGUAAGGUGGGCAGUUUAAUGUCGGAUGAGCAGUGUUGGUCUGGGGGGGUUGCACUAAUUCCUGGGGAAUGUUAUGUGUGCGUAAAUGACAAGAAACCACACACACACCCACACACACCUAUGUACACUCGCUGUGUUUACAGCCCCAGGAAUUGAGUGGUGACAAUAAAGUGCCUCAAACGGAACCUCAAGCUCCCUUCUUAUUUCCUACUCUGGGAUUCUUUGGCCUUAAGUGGUGUUCUGGCCGACACACCGGGGUGACCGUAGUGCUCCAAGUCUGAAUCAGUGCCACAGCCGUGCCUCUCUUUGAUAUCUCCACUACAGAAUUGUUAACGUAUUUACUUUAAUUCCAAUUCAGGUUAGAAAUUUUUUUUUUGUGCCCAAUGCAGAUUUUUUUCUGCGCAGAGACCGUGCCAGCAGUGCACAAUUGCGCAGGAGGAUGGGCCCAUCUCCCCCUUUCAGGCUGUGCCUGGCUGGGCCCCAGAGACUAAGGCCCUGCCACUAGACGCUCGCCCUUCGGCACCCUCCCUGGGCCUGGCUCCAGGGCAGGGCAUUGGUAACCCUAUCCCGGGCAGGGUGAACUGUUCCUGUGGGUAUGAGAAUAAGCAUGUCCAAAUCUGAGGCCAUAGUCCUCAGCUGGAAAAGGGUGCAGUGCCACUCCGGGUCAUGGAGGAGUUCCUGCCUUGAGUGAAGGACUUUAAGUAUCUCGGGGUCUUGUUCACGGCUGCAGUGAUGUGGACGAUGUACUGGUCCAUCUUGGUGAAGAGAGAGCUGAGUGUAAAAGCGAAGCUCUCGAUUUACCAGUCGGGCUAUGUUGCUACCCUCACCCUAGAUUCAAGUUUCAAGAUUUAACAUUCAAAGUGUUUAUUGUCGUAUGUACAGAAGAAAUAGCAUUUUUCUGUGCAAUGAAAUUCUUCCUUUGCUGUCCAUACACAAAUGCCAAGUUAGGUAAGGGUUAAAAGAACAAGAUAAAAAUAAGGAUAAAAAAUAAUGCAAGAUAAAUAAGUACAAAAAGUGUCCUGAUGUGCAAUUGCAGCUGAGGUAGGUCAGCUGUUCAGGAGUCUGAUAGCAGUGGGGAAGAAAGAGUUGUUGAGUCAGGAUGUUCUGGAUUUCACACUUCCUAAACCUUCCUUUCAGGGUGGAGCCUGCUGGAGUCCGAUGGUUGAGACCAGGUCUGAGGAAGUAUUCCUGUCAACUCACAAUCGACACAAACACAGUACACAGAAAGCUCCAACUGUCUCACAAAAACAGGAAGGUGACACGUGUGAAGAAGGUUCAGUCAUAUCCUGAUCAUCCAGACAGAUUUCAUGUUCAUGAACAGCUGCUGUGUGAAAAUGGUUUGACUGGUCGCUGUUACUGGGAGGUCGAGUGGAGAGGAAACGUUUAUAUAUCAGUGAGUUACAGAAGCAUCAGAAGGAAAGGAGACAGUGACGACUGUAUGUUUGGAUGGAAUGAUCAGUCCUGGAAUCUGUUCUGCUAUGAAGUUCGUCCUAGUUGUGUAUGGCACAAUAACAAAGUAACAUACAUCUCCUCCUCCUCCUCUGUCUCUAACAGAGCAGCAGUGUAUGUGGACUGUCCUGCUGGCACUCUGUCCUUCUACAGA